rnacentral:rRNA from 1 species
GAUGAACGCUGGCGGCGUGCCUAAUACAUGCAAGUCGAGCGAACGGACGAGAAGCUUGCUUCUCUGAUGUUAGCGGCGGACGGGUGAGUAACACGUGGAUAACCUACCUAUAAGACUGGGAUAACUUCGGGAAACCGGAGCUAAUACCGGAUAAUAUUUUGAACCGCAUGGUUCAAAAGUGAAAGACGGUCUUGCUGUCACUUAUAGAUGGAUCCGCGCUGCAUUAGCUAGUUGGUAAGGUAACGGCUUACCAAGGCAACGAUGCAUAGCCGACCUGAGAGGGUGAUCGGCCACACUGGAACUGAGACACGGUCCAGACUCCUACGGGAGGCAGCAGUAGGGAAUCUUCCGCAAUGGGCGAAAGCCUGACGGAGCAACGCCGCGUGAGUGAUGAAGGUCUUCGGAUCGUAAAACUCUGUUAUUAGGGAAGAACAUAUGUGUAAGUAACUGUGCACAUCUUGACGGUACCUAAUCAGAAAGCCACGGCUAACUACGUGCCAGCAGCCGCGGUAAUACGUAGGUGGCAAGCGUUAUCCGGAAUUAUUGGGCGUAAAGCGCGCGUAGGCGGUUUUUUAAGUCUGAUGUGAAAGCCCACGGCUCAACCGUGGAGGGUCAUUGGAAACUGGAAAACUUGAGUGCAGGAGAGGAAAGUGGAAUUCCAUGUGUAGCGGUGAAAUGCGCAGAGAUAUGGAGGAACACCAGUGGCGAAGGCGACUUUCUGGUCUGUAACUGACGCUGAUGUGCGAAAGCGUGGGGAUCAAACAGGAUUAGAUACCCUGGUAGUCCACGCCGUAAACGAUGAGUGCUAAGUGUUAGGGGGUUUCCGCCCCUUAGUGCUGCAGCUAACGCAUUAAGCACUCCGCCUGGGGAGUACGACCGCAAGGUUGAAACUCAAAGGAAUUGACGGGGACCCGCACAAGCGGUGGAGCAUGUGGUUUAAUUCGAAGCAACGCGAAGAACCUUACCAAAUCUUGACAUCCUUUGACAACUCUAGAGAUAGAGCCUUCCCCUUCGGGGGACAAAGUGACAGGUGGUGCAUGGUUGUCGUCAGCUCGUGUCGUGAGAUGUUGGGUUAAGUCCCGCAACGAGCGCAACCCUUAAGCUUAGUUGCCAUCAUUAAGUUGGGCACUCUAAGUUGACUGCCGGUGACAAACCGGAGGAAGGUGGGGAUGACGUCAAAUCAUCAUGCCCCUUAUGAUUUGGGCUACACACGUGCUACAAUGGACAAUACAAAGGGCAGCGAAACCGCGAGGUCAAGCAAAUCCCAUAAAGUUGUUCUCAGUUCGGAUUGUAGUCUGCAACUCGACUACAUGAAGCUGGAAUCGCUAGUAAUCGUAGAUCAGCAUGCUACGGUGAAUACGUUCCCGGGUCU